rnacentral:lncRNA from 1 species
AUGCUUUUUUCUGUUUUGAGGUUUGAAAAAUAUUUUUGUUUCCUCAGGAUCUUCAUCUUCAUCAUCCUCAUAAUGGCCUCCAUCAGUGUGACUCAGGUCUUCCUGCUGUUGGCCCUCCUCCACCUCACCACAUCACUUCCUGUCAGGGAUGAAGAUGAGAUGGAGAGUUUCCUGACUCAGAUUAGCCACCUGAACGCACCAUGGUCUCUGUCGGGGAUGAGCUCUGCUGACGCUCUGCUCGAGGACAGACUCAGGCAGCUGCUGUCUGCAGGACUGGACCGCAGGAGGCAGCUGGGAGACAUCGAGUUCUCCAACAGAUACGCAGAGUUCCUGCGAUCUAAAGCCAAACACAGCUCCACCUGCGCCUUCCUGCGCCGCAUGCAAGGCGCCAAAAAGAGCGGGGUGGGAGGAGACGUGGAGAAGGUGAACCUGCUGCUGAAACAGUACAUGUGUCCGUCCGUCUACAACAACUGGUCCACCGACCUGUAAAAGACACACAAGAGAUUACAGCUGAUGUUAGAGGGACAAACAUGUUACUGAUGUUCUGUAUGAAGCUCUAUAUAUACAGCUGUAAUCAUAUUUAAUAUGGAAACACGGAUAUCUUUGUCAUUAAAAAAGGUUUUAUGAAGUACUUUACGUGGUCAGUGUGUUUAGUAACUCAUUUGAGGACAUUUGAGGACAAUCUUACCUUUAGCUGUUGUAUUUGUCUCAAAGCAUCCUCAGACGUCUAUAAAGACUUUCAGUCAUCCAGGUCUUAUCAUAUCCAGUGCUGACUCCAGGGCAGUUUAAAGCUAGUUGCCCCCUGACUCAGCACUUCUAGAUUGAC